rnacentral:rRNA from 1 species
UUGACGUUAGCGGCGGACGGGUGAGUAACACGUGGGUAACCUACCUAUAAGACUGGGACAACUUCGGGAAACCGGAGCUAAUACCGGAUAAUAUGUUGAACCGCAUGGUUCAAUAGUGAAAGAUGGUUUUGCUAUCACUUAUAGAUGGACCCGCGCCGUAUUAGCUAGUUGGUGAGGUAACGGCUCACCAAGGCAACGAUACGUAGCCGACCUGAGAGGGUGAUCGGCCACACUGGAACUGAGACACGGUCCAGACUCCUACGGGAGGCAGCAGUAGGGAAUCUUCCGCAAUGGGCGAAAGCCUGACGGAGCAACGCCGCGUGAGUGAUGAAGGUCUUAGGAUCGUAAAACUCUGUUAUUAGGGAAGAACAAACGUGUAAGUAACUGUGCACGUCUUGACGGUACCUAAUCAGAAAGCCACGGCUAACUACGUGCCAGCAGCCGCGGUAAUACGUAGGUGGCAAGCGUUAUCCGGAAUUAUUGGGCGUAAAGCGCGCGUAGGCGGUUUUUUAAGUCUGAUGUGAAAGCCCACGGCUCAACCGUGGAGGGUCAUUGGAAACUGGAAAACUUGAGUGCAGAAGAGGAAAGUGGAAUUCCAUGUGUAGCGGUGAAAUGCGCAGAGAUAUGGAGGAACACCAGUGGCGAAGGCGACUUUCUGGUCUGUAACUGACGCUGAUGUGCGAAAGCGUGGGGAUCAAACAGGAUUAGAUACCCUGGUAGUCCACGCCGUAAACGAUGAGUGCUAAGUGUUAGGGGUUUCCGCCCCUUAGUGCUCAGCUACGCAUUAAGCACUCCGCCUGGGGAGUACG